AACGUAUAACCUAAUUACGCUUAACCUUUUUAAUUGCUUAAUCUAACCAUAGCGAUAUUAAAAUGUUCUUCAUAGUCUGGAUUAUAGCAGAGUUCGGGAUUUUGAAAUAAAACAGCAUGGAAAUUUACGCAAUACACCGUUAGGCAAAAUUUAAAUUAAAAAAAAUAAUAAUACGGUCGGAAAAUAUUAGAAUAAUUUUCUACUAUAAAUUAAAUUGCACACGAUUGUAAAUGACGCUGUAAGAUGAUCGUUUGGUAUAUAAAUAAAAACAAAAUUUAAACGUUAUUAAAUUUCUUUCAGGUUCGUGUCAAACUGUUUUAUAGAAUGACAUAUAUCGUUUACCUACACUAAAAACUUUACAGACACGGAUUAAGAUAUUAUAAAAUAUGGAAGCUGUCGUAAAAAAACUACCUCUAUAUUAUUAUUAUUAUUUCACAGUAUAUACAAUAUUACUAAACUUUUGGGAUAAAUAAUAUAAAAAAAAAACUCUCUUGUCAAUAUAAAUAACUU